UUGCUUCAGCAGCACUUAUACUAAGCUUGGAAUGAUACAGAGAAGAUUAGCAUGGCCCCCGAGGAAAGAUGGCACACAAAUUUGUAAAGCAUUCAAUAUUUUU
rnacentral:snRNA from 1 species